GCUGCAUUGGUCUAGUGGUUAGGAUCUUCGCCUUCCAAGCGAAGGGGCAGGGUUCGAUUCCCUGAUGCAGCA